rnacentral:rRNA from 1 species
UACCUACGGGACGCAGCAGUAGGGAAUUUUCGUCAAUGGGCGCAAGCCUGAACGAGCAAUGCCGCGUGAACGAGGAAGGUCUUCGGAUCGUAAAGUUCUGUUGAAGGGGAAAAAGAGCGGAGAGAGGAAAUGCUUUCUGAUUGAUAUUACCCUUCGAGGAAGUCACGGCUAACUACGUGCCAGCAGCCGCGGUAAUACGUAUGGAGCAAGCGUUAUCCGGAUUUACUGGGUAUAAAGGGAGCGUAGGCGGCUCUGUAAGUCUGAUGUGAAAAUUUGGGGCUCAACCCCAAACGUGCAUUGGAAAA